GAUCAUGGCUCAGGAUGAACGCUAGCGGCAGGCCUAAUACAUGCAAGUCGAACGGUAAGGCCCUUUCGGGGGUACACGAGUGGCGGACGGGUGCGUAACGCGUAUGCAACAUACCUUCAAGCGGGGGAUAUGCCAGGGAAACUUGGUGCAACACCCCAUAGCAUUUCGGGACCGCAUGGUCUUGGGAUUAAAUAUUUAUAGCUUGGAGAUUGGCAUGCGUGACAUUAGCUAGUUGGCGGGGUAACGGCCCACCAAGGCGACGAUGUCUAGCUGGUCUGAGAGGAUGAUCAGCCACACUGGGACUGAGACACGGCCCAGACUCCUACGGGAGGCAGCAGUAGGGAAUAUUGGACAAUGGGGGGAACCCUGAUCCAGCCAUGCCGCGUGAGGGAAGAAGGUCCUCUGGAUUGUAAACCUCUUUUGGCGGGGGACAAACCUGCACUAUACGUGCAGCUGAGGGUACCCGCAGAAUAAGCACCGGCUAACUCCGUG
rnacentral:rRNA from 1 species